UACAGAGGGGGCGAGCGUUGUUCGGAAUUACUGGGCGUAAAGGGCGCGUAGGCGGCCUCUUAAGUCGAACGCGAAAUCCCCGGGCUCAACCCGGGAACUGCGUCCGAUACUGGAAGGCUUGAAUCCGGGAGAGGGAUGUGGAAUUCCAGGUGUAGCGGUGAAAUGCGUAGAUAUCUGGAGGAACACCGGUGGCGAAGGCGACAUCCUGGACCGGUAUUGACGCUGAGGCGCGAAAGCCAGGGGAGCAAACGGG
rnacentral:rRNA from 1 species